UUAAAUUGAAGAGUUUGAUCAUGGCUCAGAUUGAACGCUGGCGGCAGGCCUAACACAUGCAAGUCGAACGGUAACAGGAAGAAGCUUGCUUCUUUGCUGACGAGUGGCGGACGGGGGAGUAAUGUCUGGGAAACUGCCUGAUGGAGGGGGAUAACUACUGGAAACGGUAGCUAAUACCGCAUAACGUCGCAAGACCAAAGAGGGGGACCUUCGGGCCUCUUGCCAUCGGAUGUGCCCAGAUGGGAUUAGCUAGUAGGUGGGGUAACGGCUCACCUAGGCGACGAUCCCUAGCUGGUCUGAGAGGAUGACCAGCCACACUGGAACUGAGACACGGUCCAGACUCCUACGGGAGGCAGCAGUGGGGAAUAUUGCACAAUG
rnacentral:rRNA from 1 species